CGAAAUUAUAAAAUCACCAGCAGAAGGUUGGUACAAGCUGCUGACUCAGGAAGAAGGUGAAUUCUACAAUGUGCCAGUACCGGAGGAGGGAACUGAUUUGGCGCAACUUAAGACGCAGAUGAGGAAAACAUCUAUUACCAAAAGGCCAACAUUACCAGCUGAUAAAGAUGUUCCACAUAAUAUGAGUAAAAAAGAUGUGAUACGAGCCACAGAUUUUAAUUUCCUCAUGGUUUUAGGAAAGGGAUCUUUUGGAAAGGUUUUAUUAGCAGAGAGGAAAGGUAC